AGGGCCUUUUCUUCUGUUCGUGGGAACAUGUAACCUUCAAAAUAAUAACCUGUAGCUACGGCCAUCCCUGAACUCUUGCGGAAUUGCCCAUGGGCAUGAGCACUAUGUAUGGGCGAUCCCUCCCUAUAUGGAUACCAGAUAUGUGUGCCUAUGAAAUGACCAGGGAAUAAACUGAUCGAGGCAAGGCCCGAUACGAACUGACAA
rnacentral:lncRNA from 1 species